CCGGAGCCCUACCCGGAGCCUGAGGCGGGAGCGGCGAAGCACAGGCGACGCAUGCGCGCUGACUGGAAACGCGACAGAAACCAGCGACCCCGCCUCUCAGGAAAAUCAGUCCGGCCAAGUCCGAAGCCCUAGUACUUUGGUUCCGCGUCACAUCGGUCACACUCCUGAGGGAGAAAAAGACGCGCAUCACAGUAAGGUUCUGCUCGCCUACCCGGGAUCCCUGCACUCGGCUACCCCAGACACCACUGAUGCUGUCUAUGGAGAGGACAACGCUCUGAGAAGCAAAGGUCUGCGGAUGACGCCUCGGGAGUGAUGGGUAACGGGUUUUCCUUAACCAUUUGUUGUUGAAUCAAUAAAGUCCACUGAACCUUGAGA